rnacentral:SRP_RNA from 1 species
ACCAUAUGUGGCAAAACAUAUCUGUAAUCCUAGUUAUCUAUUGAGAGGUGGAAGCUGGUGAAUCUCUUGAGCUUAGAGAGUCUAAGCCACAGUGGGCUGUACUGAUCAGGUAUCUACAAUAAGUUUGGCAUCAAUAUAGUGAGUACCAGGAAACCAGGAGCCACAAGGUUGCCUAAAAAGAGACCAAAUGGUGUAGGUAAGAGCAGGUCAAAGCUGCCAUGAACAACAGUAGUGGGAUUGGACCUGUGAGUAGUCCUUAGACAUUUAGACUGGUCAAAAUAGGGAAACCCAGUCUUCA